rnacentral:rRNA from 1 species
AGUGAACGCUGGCGGCAGGCCUAACACAUGCAAGUCGAACGGCAGCACAAGAGAGCUUGCUCUCUGGGUGGCGAGUGGCGGACGGGUGAGGAAUGCAUCGGAAUCUGCCCAUUUGUGGGGGAUAACCUCGGGAAACCGGGACUAAUACCGCAUACGACCUACGGGUGAAAGCAGGGGAUCUUCGGACCUUGCGCAGAUGGAUGAGCCGAUGCCGGAUUAGCUAGUUGGAGGGGUAAAGGCCCACCAAGGCGACGAUCCGUAGCUGGUCUGAGAGGAGGAUCAGCCACACUGGGACUGAGACACGGCCCUGACUCCUACGGGAGGCAGCAGUGGGGAAUAUUGGACAAUGGGCGCAAGCCUGAUCCAGCCAUGCCGCGUGUGUGAAGAAGGCCUUCGGGUUGUAAAGCACUUUUGUUGGGAAAGAAAAGCAGCCGGUUAAUACCCGGUUGUCAUGACGGUACCCAAAGAAUAAGCACCGGCUAACUACGUG